GAGGGGAUAGCUCAAGAGGUGGAGCGCAUGCUUGGCAUGCACGAGGUCCUGGGUUCAGCCCCAGCACCUUCA
rnacentral:tRNA from 1 species